rnacentral:lncRNA from 1 species
GCACUCCAGCCUGGGUGACAGAGCGAGACUCCGUCUCCAAAAAAAUAAAAAGUGUAGACUAUAGACAACUAGAAUUUCUAGACUGUCUGGCUUGGGGUAGGUCUGGUUGGGGAUUGGGAGAAUGCUUGGGGGAUUUACUGAGAAGUGGUCACUGUUUCUAUGCUAAGCUCUGUUUUUCACUUAGGUUAUAGGUAUUUGGGUGGCCUUUCAGGCAAUGGAGGUUAUGAGGGAGCUAAGGCCCCUGUGGACCCCUUGGCACCAGCACUGGCAUAGGCCCACUUGCUACCACCAGAACUGAGCACAUAUGGGAGCAUUCACGGGGCUGAUUAAGGAAGGCUUCCUGGAGGAAGGGAGUUUGAGGCAUGUUUGAAAGAAGAAGAGGGGGGAUUAUAAAACACGAAAGUGACAGCAGACAGGUUUAUGUAACAUCCAGGAGCAAGAAUGAGACUCUGAGGGCAUCCAGGACCCACCUUCAUUGUAGGGACAAAAGCACCAAGGUCUCAGCCAGGUGAGGGAGUUUGCCCAAGGCACAGUGACUGAACUGGAACUGGUGCUGCAGGGAGCUGGAAGGAAGGAAGGAAGUCCAAACAGAGGGAACGUGGACAGACUCAGGCACAAGGGCUUAAGCUAUGAGCCUAGCAGUGAGGCCCAACUCAGUUUACAAGGCUUGCAAACCAGUAAGAAGCCUUUGCCUCCUGGUCACAGCCCUCACAGUGAAACAGAGAAGGUGGGUGAUGCCUGCUUCUACCCUCAGGGAAAGAUGACAUAACAACAGCUUACACUGUGUAAUGCUUUCUACAUGACCAGUAAAUUCUGCGUGCUCUUCUUCUUCUUAUUCUUCCUCUUCCUCUUCCUCUUCCUCCUCCUCCUCCUC